rnacentral:rRNA from 1 species
GUCCACACUGUAAACGAUGAUUACUAGGUGUUGGAGGAUUGACCCCUUCAGUGCCGCAGUUAACACAAUAAGUAAUCCACCUGGGGAGUACGACCGCAAGGUUGAAACUCAAAGGAAUUGACGGGGGCCCGCACAAGCAGUGGAGUAUGUGGUUUAAUUCGACGCAACGCGAAGAACCUUACCAAGUCUUGACAUCCAUCGACGACUAUAGAAAUAUAGUUUUCCUUCGGGACGGUGAGACAGGUGGUGCAUGGUUGUCGU